rnacentral:lncRNA from 1 species
GGGGGCUGGUGGGAAAUGGAGUUCCAAAUGAGAAUAGAAUUCCCCACUUCUCUUUCCCACAGGUGCCAGGGAAACGGAGUCAUCGACCCAAGAAGGUCGUGGGAGAUGAGGUCCCAGGGGAGAAUAAUUUGGAGGCGAGCGGGGAGGUGAGAGGAAGCUGUGCGGUGCAGGAUGGCGUGGCUGUGGAGGUGGAGAACGUUGGGCCACGCUAGGAGUCUUGAAAGAGGAGCCAAAAGGACUUGCUGAGAGCUGCCGCAGCUGGUGAAUGACGGUGCCAUGACUGAGGUGGUCGAAAGGGAGUAUUUAAGGGGAAAUCAGGCAUUCCGUUUUGACCAAAUUAAGCUGGAGAUGCCUGUGGAACAUUCCAGCCAGGCUGCAUCACUUCACACUGACCUUCAGCAUUGCCCACAGUCCAUCUUCCCCCGGGACCUGAGGAUUUUGCGUCCGGCUCCCUCCUCGCCCAGGACCCCCAAGCUCCCAGCACGCUUCUGAUUUUUUUUUGUAGUUGUUUUUUUUGUUGUUGUUUUUUGUUUUGUUUUGUUUUUGAGAGGGAGUCUCACUUUGUGCCCUAGACUGGAGUGCAAUGGCGCCAUCUCGGCUUACUGCAACCUCCACCUCCCAGGUGCAAGCGAUUCCCCUGCCUCAGCCUCCCGAGUAGCUGGGAUUACAGAUGUGAGCCACCCUACCCAGCUAAUUUUUGUAUUUUUAGUAGAGACUGGGUUUCACCAUAUUGGCCAAGCUGGUCUCGAACUCCUGACCUCAGGCGAUCCAUCUGUCUCAGCCUCCCAAAGUGCUGGGAUUACAGGUGUGAGCCACCGCGCCGGGCCUCGGCCCACUUCUUUCGGGUGGCAAUGGUUUGGAUAUCGUUUGUCCUAAAAUUCAUGUUGAGAUUCGAGCCCCAGUGUGGCAGGUGUUGGGAUGUGGGGCCUCAUAGGAGCUGUGUGGUCUUGGAGUUGGAGUCCUCAUGGAUAGAUUAAUGCCUGCCUUAAGGGGUGAGUGAGUUCUCACCCUUGGGAAUUUGGGAAUUUGGUUUUCUCUCCCUUGUUUCCUUCAGCAUCAUGUGAUUUCUGUGCACACAGCUGCAUCCUUCUGCCCUCCCCCAGAAGCAGCAGCAGCCUCAGGGAUGAGGGAGGUCCUCAGUGAGUGCACCUGCCCAGUCUUGAACCUUCCAGCCAUCAGAAUCUGAGCCAAAUCAACCUCUUCCUUUAUAAAGACCCAGCCUCAGGUCUUCUGUCAGAGCAACACAAAAUGGACUCAGUACGGGUCAAAUUGUGUCUCCCCCACCCCCACAAAAAACUUUAUAUUAAAAUCCUAACCCCCAGCAUCUCAGAAUGUGAUCUGAUUAGGAAAUAAGGUCAUUGCAGAUAUAAUUAGUUCAGAUGAGGUCAUUCAUGUGGGCCCUAAUCCAAUAGGAUGUGUGUCUUAUAAAAGUUUGUACAGAGACCCAGACACACAGAAAGGACACCAUGUGGAGGUGAAGGCAGAGAUUGGGGUGACGCCUCUACAAACCGAGGAAAACCAAAGCUGCCGGCACACCCUCAGAAGCCAGAGACCGGGGACUCAUCCUCCCUCACAGCCUCAGGAGCAGCCAGGGCUGACACCCUCAUCUCAGACUUCUGACCUCCAGCACUGGGAGACCAUCAGUUUUUGUGAUUUAAGCCACUAAUUUUGAGGACUCACAUGCGACCCUAAUGCCGCCAUCACCUUAACUCCA